CCUACGGUGUGCAGCAGUGAGGAAUAUUGGUCAAUGGGCGCUAGCCUGAACCAGCCAAGUAGCGUGAAUGAUGACUGCCCUACGGGUUGUAAACUUCUUUUAUAAAGGAAUAAAGUGCGGCACGUGUGCCUUUUUGUAUGUACUUUAUGAAUAAGGAUCGGCUAACUCCGUGCCAGCAGCCGCGGUACUACGGAGGAUCCGAGCGUUAUCCGGAUUUAUUGGGUUUAAAGGGAGCGUAGAUGGGUUGUUAAGUCAGUUGUGAAAGUUUGCGGCUCAACCGUAAAAUUGCAAUUGAUACUGGCAGUCUUGAGUACAGUAGAGGUAGGCGGAAUUCGUGGUGUAGCGGUGAAAUGCUUAGAUAUCACGAAGAACUCCGAUUGCGAAGGCAGCUUCCUAAACUGACACUGACAUUGAUGCUCGAAAGUGUGGGUAUCAAACAGGAUUAGAUACCCGGGUAGUC
rnacentral:rRNA from 1 species